GCCGGGCGUGGUGGCGCACGCCUGUAGUCCCAGCUACUCGGGAGGCUGAGGUGGGAGGAUCGCUUGAGUCCAGGAGUUCUGGGCUGCAGUGCGCUAUGCCGAUCGGGUGUCCGCACUAAGUUCGGCAUCAAUAUGGUGACCUCCCGGGAGCAGGGGACCACCAGGUUGCCUAAGGAGGGGUGAACCGGCCCAGGUCGGAAACGGAGCAGGUCAAAACUCCCGUGCUGAUCAGUAGUGGGAUCGCGCCUGUGAAUAGCCACUGCACUCCAGCCUGGGCAAUAUAGUGAGACCCUGUCUCUU
rnacentral:SRP_RNA from 1 species